GGUCUAUAAUCCGAGACCUUAAAGGCGGAUGAUUCGUGGGGCGAUGGUUAAAGCCCUAAAACAACCUA
rnacentral:ncRNA from 1 species